AAUCCAUGAUACGGGCACCACCUAAGAAAGUCCUUGAGUCAUUCACGUGCCUCAAACAGUGUUUCUUAUUUUCCUGUUUAAAUGCUGAGAUCUCCUACCUGAUAUU